CCGAUGGUAGAUGCCAGUAUCAACUGACGAGGUGGUGGUGGUGGUGAUAAUAAUGAUGAUAAUUCAGAUAAUUCAGAUAAUACAGACUGUGCACAUGUCUUAACCUGAGAGUUUAAAUUAUUUUGAUUAUUUGAAAACCAGUGGAGGAGUGCCAGUGAUUGUUUUGAGACGUCUUCUUCAUUUUUUUUUACACCAACAUGUCCAGUUGAUUAGUGGUGCCAUGAGACAAGGAUUUGACCUUCUGCGAGUGAGGAAUAUCCUCUGGAGCUGUAGAAGAUGUCGAGGACACGGCCCAGAUCACUGGAGUGUCCUGAAGAAGAAGAGAACAGCGAAGGACAAAGCCCUGGAGCACUUCAAUGACUUCUACGCAACAGUUUAUGGUGAUGUCUGGCCGAAUAUUCGAUAUGCAAUGCUGAAGAAGAGCCACAAGUACGUUGCUGUCGUCAAUAAUUUCUCUGACACCCAGGAGAUUGUCCAGAAGUUGCAGUUACAAGGUGCCAUGGACCUGAAAGAACUUUACGAAGUGUCUAAAAGGAGUAAAGUUGAGAGGGACAAAAAGAAGGAGCGCCUGGAGACGGAAAAACCUGUUUACAAGAUGAGUCUUCCCAUGGAGGACGUCCUGGAAAAAAAGACUUAUUCUGAGUUGAAGACACUUUUUCCAGAUAACUACGAGCCGUCGAUGAAGGCCCUGGAGCAGGAGGACGAUGGACUGCCUCCAAAAGUGGAACCUCUUGAACCUGUCCAGCUGAGGCCUCUGGAGGAGGAUCUUGCUGUUGCACAGCUUGACGAGAGUAGAAUCAUCAAACCUGAUACUGGAAUAUCAGCAUCAUCUCUUUAUGAGUAUAUACCUGCUACGAAGCUCAAAGGCCUCGAGGAUUACGUUCUCGAGUCCGAGCAUUAUGGGUAUUACUCCAAAAGCGCUGAUUUCGAAAUAAAUGUCGAACAGGAUUCGCGUUUUUCAUUUCCAGAGCAUCUCAAGGUGUUUACAUUUGAUGCAGGAAAUGACAGCACCUUCCCAUCACCCAGGAGAGGAUCUACUGGUGUAUUUGAUUAUUAUUUAAUGGAUGGGGGUUCAGUCCUCCCUGUACUCGCCCUCGAUCUUCGCCCUGGGGACGUCGUCCUCGACAUGUGUGCAGCACCUGGGGGAAAAUCCCUCAUCGCACUGCAGACACUAUUACCCUCGAUGCUUGUUGCUAAUGAUUUAAAAAUGCAGAGGGUGAAUAUGAUUAAUGACGUCGUGGACGAAUACCUGGGGGAUCUCGAUGUCUGGACUGGGAAACUCUUCGUGACGCAGCAGGAUGCUAGACUCAUCGAGGACAGGAAUGUCUACAAUAAGAUCCUCGUGGAUGUUCCUUGCACAACAGAUCGCCACAAUCUCCACAACGACGACAGCAACAUAUUUUCCCCCACGAGAAUUAAGGAACGACUACAACUCCCAGAGUACCAGUCAUCCAUUUUACAACAGGCCUUGAAAAUUGUUCCUGUUGGUGGCACUGUUGUUUAUUCCACGUGUUCACUGAGUCCAAUACAGAACGAUGGGGUUGUGCAGAUGGCCUUGAAAAAAAACUGGGAGGAAACGCGAUCUGUCAUGGUUGUGAAAGACAUCAAGGAGGGACUAGGGCCGUUGCGAGUGAUUUACAAAUUCGCUGAAGACUUUGGAUUCAAAUAUGGUACAGUCGUUUUACCCACGAAAAAAUCCAACUUUGGACCCACGUAUUUCAGUAAAAUCGUGAGGAUGCACUGAUACUUCUAAAUAUCUUGUAAAUACAGCGUAAUUAAUAAAAGAGAUCAGUCAAGGGCUGUUCAACAGCUGUCCCGAAGACCCAGUAAACGACGAUUUCAAUUACGUAGAAAAUAGCG